rnacentral:rRNA from 1 species
CAGCAGCCGCGGUAAUACGGAGGGGGCUAGCGUUGUUCGGAAUUACUGGGCGUAAAGCGCACGUAGGCGGCUUGGUAAGUUAGAGGUGAAAGCCUGGAGCUCAACUCCAGAAUUGCCUUUAAGACUGCCGAGCUAGCAGGUGAGAGAGGUAAGUGGAAUUCCGAGUGUAGAGGUGAAAUUCGUAGAUAUUCGGAAGAACACCAGUGGCGAAGGCGGCUUACUGGCUCAUACUGGACGCUGAGGUGCGAAAGCGUGGGGAGCAAACAGGAUUAGAUACCCGCGUAGUCCCUGUCUCUAUACA